CAGUAUCUUGACUGUGCGAAGGUAGCAUAAUCAUUUGUCUUUUAAUUAAAGGCUUGUAUGAAUGGUUGGAUGAGGGAAUUACUUUCUUUAUAUUAAAAGUUGAAUUUAAUAUUUAAGUUAAAAAGCUUAAAUUUUUAAGUGGGACGAGAAGACCCUAUAGAAUUUUAUUUUAAAUUUGUUAUAUUUAAUUUAUGGUUAUUAUUUAUUAUUUAUUCUGUUUAUAAUUUUAUUGGGGUGAUAUUGAGAUUAAAAAAACUCUCAUAUUUUAAUAAUUAAUUAUUUUUAUUUAUUAGGAUCCUAUUUUAUGGAUAUUUAGAUUAAAUUACCUUAGGGAUAACAGCGUAAUUUUUCUGGAGAGUUCUUAUCGAUGGAAAAGUUUGCGACCUCGAUGUUGGAUUAAAAUUAGUUUUAAGUGCAGAAGCUUAAAGUUCUAGGUCUGUUCGAC
rnacentral:rRNA from 1 species